rnacentral:rRNA from 1 species
CAGCAGCCGCGGUAAUACGUAGGGUGCAAGCGUUAAUCGGAAUUACUGGGCGUAAAGCGUGCGCAGGCGGUUAUAUAAGACAGAUGUGAAAUCCCCGGGCUCAACCUGGGAACUGCAUUUGUGACUGUAUAGCUAGAGUACGGCAGAGGGGGAUGGAAUUCCGCGUGUAGCAGUGAAAUGCGUAGAUAUGCGGAGGAACACCGAUGGCGAAGGCAAUCCCCUGGGCCUGUACUGACGCUCAUGCACGAAAGCGUGGGGAGCAAACAGGAUUAGAUACCCGUGUAGUCCCUGUCUCUUAUAU